UAUUUAACCAGAAAGCCACGGCUAACUACGUGCCAGCAGCCGCGGUAAUACGUAGGUGGCAAGCGUUGUCCGGAUUUAUUGGGCGUAAAGCGAGCGCAGGCGGUUUUUUAAGUCUGAUGUGAAAGCCUUCGGCUCAACCGAAGAAGUGCAUCGGAAACUGGGAAACUUGAGUGCAGAAGAGGACAGUGGAACUCCAUGUGUAGCGGUGAAAUGCGUAGAUAUAUGGAAGAACACCAGUGGCGAAGGCGGCUGUCUGGUCUGUAACUGACGCUGAGGCUCGAAAGUAUGGGUAGCAAACAGGAUUAGAUACCCUGGUAGUCCAUACCGUAAACGAUGAAUGCUAAGUGUUGGAGGGUUUCCGCCCUUCAGUGCUGCAGCUAACGCAUUAAGCAUUCCGCCUGGGGAGUACGGCCGCAAGGCUGAAACUCAAAGGAAUUGACGGGGGCCCGCACAAGCGGUGGAGCAUGUGGUUUAAUUCGAAGCUACGCGAAGAACCUUACCAGGUCUUGACAUACUAUGCAAAUCUAAGAGAUUAGACGUUCCCUUCGGGGACAUGGAUACAGGUGGUGCAUGGUUGUCGUCAGCUCGUGUCGUGAGAUGUUGGGUUAAGUCCCGCAACGAGCGCAACCCUUAUUAUCAGUUGCCAGCAUUAAGUUGGGCACUCUGGUGAGACUGCCGGUGACAAACCGGAGGAAGGUGGGGAUGACGUCAAAUCAUCAUGCCCCUUAUGACCUGGGCUACACACGUGCUACAAUGGAUGGUACAACGAGUUGCGAACUCGCGAGAGUAAGCUAAUCUCUUAAAGCCAUUCUCAGUUCGGAUUGUAGGCUGCAACUCGCCUACAUGAAGUCGGAAUCGCUAGUAAUCGCGGAUCAGCAUGCCGCGGUGAAUACGUUCCCGGGCCUUGUACACACCGCCCGUCACACCAUGAGAGUUUGUAACACCCAAAGUCGGUGGGGUAACCUUUUAGGAACCAGCCGCUAAGUGACCAUUU
rnacentral:rRNA from 2 species